AAAAUACAUGAUAAGAUAACUGGAAGUGCUACAUUUUUACAAAAAUGUUUACUUCUUUACAGAUAUCAACAAUAAACUGUACAUAGCAGACUUUGGAACAAGCAUAAAACUGGAUCUGGCACAAAUCACAUUGCGCUCACAAAUAGCUGGAUCUCUUUCUUGGUCAAGUUAUGAAGAUGUUGGGGGCAUGCAAUACAAAUACAAGAGAGAAUCAGAUAUCCAGGUAGCAGGAUGCUUGGUCCAUUACAUCCUGACGGAUGGGCAACACCCUUAUCAGACAACUACACCCUACGCCAAGGAUCCAAUUGGUCUAUCUCUAAAUGUCAGAAUGAGUGACUUCACUCUUCAAUGUGAUGAAAGACAAAAAAAAUUCUUAAGCAGAAUGCUGUGCAAAUCAACGGAAGAGCGUCCUACUAUUGAGGAAUGCCUUCAGGCAGUCAAAAGUUUCGAUCACCAGUCUGACCAAAUUGGAACCACAAAGAGCUACAGCAAUAAGAAUGGAAAUAAAGACAGAGCCCAUAUAGAAAACUGCUUUCCUCAAGCACAAGAUGAGAUGAACAUCCCAGAGAAUCUUUGCAGUGAUGUGACAGAUUCAUAUUCCCACACUGAAGAGGAAUUAUCUGAGUGUGAAACGAACAACACAGAACAACAGGUAUACCUUUUGCUGGAAAUGUCAGAGGAAGAAGAAGACAAAGAAGAAGAAGAAAAAGAAAGCAAAACAAAACAAGCACAAGAGAAGGUAGCCAUCCAAGGAAAACCGCUUACAAAGGCUAGGAUGCGAAUGGAUGAAUGUGCCCACGGUUGUGCAUCUCAACAACAAAAUAUGAUCAAAGUGAAAGUAUCCUCAAACACGCCAUAUCAACGCAUCUAUGACAAAAAGAAUUUCUGCCUUUACUGUGAAAAGCCUUAUGCAAAAAUCACAAGACAUCUGAUACAGAAACAUUCUAGAGAGGUUGAAGUUGCAAAGGCACUGUCAUGUAAGCAAGGCUCAGCCAAGCGUAAUCUUUUUUUAACCAAAGUAAGGAACAUGGGAAACUACCACCAUAAUAGUUCAGUCCUAUCCUCUGGAAAAGGGGAGAUUAUUCCAAAAAGACAAGCAACAUCUGUGUCAACAGCAACUGACUAUCUGCCUUGCAAGUUUUGCUUUGCUAUGUAUAUCAAAACAGACCUCUGGAGACAUCAUAAGCGUUGCAAAUUACAAGUAAAAGACAAUAUGCCAGGGAAGCGGAAGGUUAUGAGAUUUUCUAGGUGACAAACUUGAUAGUUUAUCACUUGGAAAACCAUUUCCGUUGUCAGGAGUGCAGCAGAAGCAAGUGACAAACCAUCAGUUUAGGAGUGUGUGUGGACUUUAAAUAAAGUUUGACUUCAUUUCA
ensembl:lncRNA